rnacentral:rRNA from 1 species
GACGAACGCUGGCGGCGUGCUUAACACAUGCAAGUCGAACGGAAAGGCCCUGCUUUUGUGGGGUGCUCGAGUGGCGAACGGGUGAGUAACACGUGAGUAACCUGCCCUUGACUUUGGGAUAACUUCAGGAAACUGGGGCUAAUACCGGAUAGGAGCUCCUGCUGCAUGGUGGGGGUUGGAAAGUUUCGGCGGUUGGGGAUGGACUCGCGGCUUAUCAGCUUGUUGGUGGGGUAGUGGCUUACCAAGGCUUUGACGGGUAGCCGGCCUGAGAGGGUGACCGGCAGGGGUGGUGCGGGGAUAAGACGCAGAGGGAGGGAGGGGGAAGGGGGGGGGGAUAGGGCAGGGGGGGGGGGGGGGCGGGGGAGCAGGGGCGCGGGGGGGAGGACGGGCGUCGGGCGGUACACCGCGUUCGCAGGGGGCGAAGGGGGGGGGACGGGCAGGGGAAAAGCAGCACCGACUAAGUACGGGUAGAGAGGCGCGGUAAUAAUCAAAAGCCCACAAGUCCGAAC